rnacentral:rRNA from 1 species
AACGAACGCUGGCGGCAGGCCUAACACAUGCAAGUCGAACGCUCCGCAAGGGGAGUGGCGCACGGGUGAGUAACACGUGGGAACCUACCUUCUGGUACGGAACAACCAAGGGAAACUUUGGCUAAGACCGUAUACGACCUCCGGGUGAAAGAUUGAUCGCCGGAAGAGGGGCCCGCGUCCGAUUAGGUAGUUGGUGAGGUAACGGCUCACCAAGCCUUCGAUCGGUAGCUGGUCUGAGAGGAUGACCAGCCACACUGGGACUGAGACACGGCCCAGACUCCUACGGGAGGCAGCAGUGGGAAUAUUGGACAAUGGGCGCAAGCCUGAUCCAGCCAUGCCGCGUGAGUGAUGAAGGCCUCGGUUGUAAGU